rnacentral:rRNA from 1 species
UGGGGAAUCUUGCGCAAUGGGCGAAAGCCUGACGCAGCAACGCCGCGUGUGUGAUGAAGGUCUUCGGAUCGUAAAGCACUGUCGCGAGGGAAGAUACGCUUCCAGCUAACAUCUGGAGGCUAAGACGGUACCUCGAGAGGAAGCACCGGCUAACUCUGUGCCAGCAGCCGCGGUAAUACAGAGGGUGCGAGCGUUGUUCGGAAUCAUUGGGCGUAAAGCGCUUGUAGGCGGCCUGUCAAGUCGCGUGUGAAAUCCCCUGGCUUAACCAGGGAAGUGCGCGCGAAACUGGCGGGCUUGAGUGCCGGAGAGGGUCGCGGAAUUCCCGGUGUAGAGGUGAAAUUCGUAGAUAUCGGGAGGAACACCAGUGGCGAAGGCGGCGACCUGGACGGACACUGACGCUGAGACGCGAAAGCGUGGGGAGCAAACA